rnacentral:rRNA from 1 species
CCUACGGGUGGCAGCAGUAGGGAAUAUUGCACAAUGGGGGAAACCCUGAUGCAGCGACGCCGCGUGAGUGAUGAAGGAUUUCGGAAUGUAAAGCUCUAUCAUCAGGGAAGAAAAUGACGGUACCUAACUAAGAAGCACCGGCUAACUACGUGCCAGCAGCCGCGGUAAUACGAAGGGGGCAAGCGUUAUCCGGAUUUACUGGGUGUAAAGUGAGCGUAGACGGGAUCGCAAGUCUGGUGUGAAAGCCCAGGGCUUAACCCUGGAGCUUCAUUGGAAACUGUGAAACUAGAGUGCAGGAGAGGUAAGUGGAAUUCCUGGUGUAGCGGUGAAAUGCGUAGAGAUUAGGAGGAACACCAGUGGCGAAGGCGACUUACUGGACUGUAACUGACGCUGAUGCGCGAAAGCGUGGGGAGCAAACAGGAUUAGAUACCCCAGUAGUC